rnacentral:tRNA from 1 species
GCGGGCGUGGCGGAACUGGUAGACGCGCCGGGUUUAGGUCCCGGUGGGGCGCGAGCCCCUUAGAGGUUCAAGUCCUCUCGCCCGCA